UACGAAGGGGGCUAGCGUUGCUCGGAAUCACUGGGCGUAAAGGGCGCGUAGGCGGGUCUUUAAGUCAGGGGUGAAAUCCUGGAGCUCAACUCCAGAACUGCCUUUGAUACUGAAGAUCUUGAGUUCGGGAGAGGUGAGUGGAACUGCGAGUGUAGAGGUGAAAUUCGUAGAUAUUCGCAAGAACACCAGUGGCGAAGGCGGCUCACUGGCCCGAUACUGACGCUGAGGCACGAAAGCGUGGGGAGCAAACGGG
rnacentral:rRNA from 1 species